CACCACUCAAGCACUGCUUGGUAUUGGGCAUCGUCCGUCGAAAGGCGGGCGUGCCUCGAAGACCUCGGCGGGGUUUCUCCAACUUCGGGCGUAGUAGAGUUAAAUCGAACGUCUUAUAAGCUUGGUGGGACUCCAUUGCCGUUAAACCUUUUAUUUUCUA
rnacentral:misc_RNA from 1 species